CAGCAACGCCGCGUGUGUGAAGAAGGCUCUCGGGUCGUAAAGCACUGUCGAGUGGAACGAGCAGGCCGUGGUCAAUACCCACGGUCCCGACGGUACCACUUGCAGGAAGCACCGGCUAACUCCGUGCCAGCAGCCGCGGUAAUACGGAGGGUGCAAGCGUUGUUCGGAAUUAUUGGGCGUAAAGCGCGCGCAGGCGGGACAUCAAGUCUGGUGUGAAAUCCCUCGGCUCAACCGAGGACGUGCAUCGGAAACUGAUGUUCUUGAGUCCUGGAGAGGGUGGCGGAAUUCCCAGUGUAGAGGUGAAAUUCGUAGAUAUUGGGAGGAACACCAGUGGCGAAGGCGGCCACCUGGACAGUGACUGACGCUGAGACGCGAAAGCGUGGGUAGCAAACAGGAUUAGAUACCCUGGUAGUCCACGCCGUAAACGAUGGGUACUAGUUGGUGCGGGUAUUGACCCCUGCGAGUGACGUAGCUAACGCAUUAAGUACCCCGCCUGGGGAGUACGUCGC
rnacentral:rRNA from 1 species